rnacentral:tRNA from 1 species
GCAGUCGUGGCCGAGUGGUUUAAGGCGUCUGACUUGAAAUCAGAUUCCCUCUGGAGCGUAGGUUCGAGUCCUGCCGACUGCG